GCUCUGGAUGAACGCUAGCUACAGGCUUAACACAUGCAAGUCGAGGGGCAGCAUUUCAGUUUGCUUGCAAACUGGAGAUGGCGACCGGCGCACGGGUGAGUAACACGUAUCCAACCUGCCGAUAACUCGGGGAUAGCCUUUCGAAAGAAAGAUUAAUACCCGAUGGUAUAAUCAGACCGCAUGGUCUUGUUAUUAAAGAAUUUCGGUUAUCGAUGGGGAUGCGUUCCAUUAGGCAGUUGGUGAGGUAACGGCUCACCAAACCUUCGAUGGAUAGGGGUUCUGAGAGGAAGGUCCCCCACAUUGGAACUGAGACACGGUCCAAACUCCUACGGGAGGCAGCAGUGAGGAAUAUUGGUCAAUGGGCGCAGGCCUGAACCAGCCAAGUAGCGUGAAGGAUGACUGCCCUAUGGGUUGUAAACUUCUUUUAUAUGGGAAUAAAGUUUUCCACGUGUGGAAUUUUGUAUGUACCAUAUGAAUAAGGAUCGGCUAACUCCGUGCCAGCAGCCGCGGUAAUACGGAGGAUCCGAGCGUUAUCCGGAUUUAUUGGGUUUAAAGGGAGCGUAGGUGGACAGUUAAGUCAGUUGUGAAAGUUUGCGGCUCAACCGUAAAAUUGCAGUUGAUACUGGCUGUCUUGAGUACAGUAGAGGUGGGCGGAAUUCGUGGUGUAGCGGUGAAAUGCUUAGAUAUCACGAAGAACUCCGAUUGCGAAGGCAGCUCACUGGACUGCAACUGACACUGAUGCUCGAAAGUGUGGGUAUCAAACAGGAUUAGAUACCCAGGUAGUCCACACAGUAAACGAUGAAUACUCGCUGUUUGCGAUAUACAGUAAGCGGCCAAGCGAAAGCAUUAAGUAUUCCACCUGGGGAGUACGCCGGCAACGGUGAAACUCAAAGGAAUUGACGGGGGCCCGCACAAGCGGAGGAACAUGUGGUUUAAUUCGAUGAUACGCGAGGAACCUUACCCGGGCUUAAAUUGCAUUUGAAUAUAUUGGAAACAGUAUAGCCGUAAGGCAAAUGUGAAGGUGCUGCAUGGUUGUCGUCAGCUCGUGCCGUGAGGUGUCGGCUUAAGUGCCAUAACGAGCGCAACCCUUAUCUUUAGUUACUAACAGGUCAUGCUGAGGACUCUAGAGAGACUGCCGUCGUAAGAUGUGAGGAAGGUGGGGAUGACGUCAAAUCAGCACGGCCCUUACGUCCGGGGCUACACACGUGUUACAAUGGGGGGUACAGAAGGCAGCUACCUGGUGACAGGAUGCUAAUCCCAAAAGCCUCUCUCAGUUCGGAUCGAAGUCUGCAACCCGACUUCGUGAAGCUGGAUUCGCUAGUAAUCGCGCAUCAGCCAUGGCGCGGUGAAUACGUUCCCGGGCCUUGUACACACCGCCCGUCAAGCCAUGAAAGCCGGGGGUACCUGAAGUACGUAACCGCAAGGAGCGUCCUAGGGUAAAAC
rnacentral:rRNA from 1 species